rnacentral:sRNA from 1 species
AACUUAACAUUUAUGCCAUAGACAGCAGGUGCUGAUAAAGCUUAAUUUCCUGCCGAGGUAUUCGAUCAUAAUAGAACUAUUUUGUUCGGACUAUCAUCGUACCUCCAUGUCUAGUUUAGAUAUGGAGGUUUUUU